rnacentral:rRNA from 1 species
GUCGCGUGAGUGAAGAAGGCCCUUGGGUCGUAAAGCUCUUUUAUGGGGGAAGAUGAUGACGGUACCCCAAGAAUAAGCACCGGCUAACUAUGUGCCAGCAGCCGCGGUAAUACAUAGGGUGCGAGCGUUGUUCGGAAUUACUGGGCGUAAAGGGCGCGCAAGCUGAAUAGUAAGUCGGAGGUGAAAGCCCGGGGCUCAACCCCGGAGGGUCUUUCGAAACUGCUAAUCUAGAGAGGGUCAGGGGCCGGCAGAAUUCCUGGUGUAAAGGUGAAAUUCAUAUAUAUCAGGAGGAAUACCGGUGGCGAAGGCGGCCGGCUGGGGCCACUCUGACGCUGAGGCGCGAAAGCGUGGGGAGCAAACAGGAUUAAAUACCCUGGUAGUCCACGCCAUAAACGAUGAUCACUGGACGUCCGGAGGGUUC